AGUUGAAACGGGAUCGCCAUGCGCUCGGGCCCGGGGGGCUGCCUUUCCGGGCAUCCGCAGGCCCCAACCUUUAGGGAAGGCGCACAGUGUGAUAUUCGCCCUGCGGCUGCUGCUUUAGCUUGUGCAGGGGAGGGUAACGUGCUGAGACGGGUUGCAAAGGGCUGUCCGCUUAAGGUGCAGUUGAGGUGGCUUGGAAGGGGUGUCUGACUGCAGUAUUCUUGUCAGCAGAGAACAUGGCGGCCCAGAGGGAAUGGACCCCGAUGGUGUCAUCGAGAGCAACUGGAAUGAGAUUGUUGAUAACUUUGAUGAUAUGAAUUUAAAGGAGUCUCUCCUUCGUGGCAUCUAUGCUUACGGUUUUGAGAAGCCUUCCGCUAUUCAGCAGAGAGCUAUUAUUCCCUGUAUUAAAGAUCCAAAAGGUAAUUCUGGCACUUGGAGACUAUAUGGGAGCCACUUGUCAUGCCUGCAUUGGUGGAACAAAUGUUCGAAAUGAAAUGCAAAAACUGCAGGCUGAAGCACCACAUAUUGUUGUUGGUACACCCGGGAGAGUGUUUGAUAUGUUAAACAGAAGA
rnacentral:sRNA from 1 species